AGGAGAGUGAGAAAGAAUCCCAAGCAGACUCUGCGCUGAGCACAGGACCUAAUGCGGGGCUUGAUUUCAUGACUUAGAGACCAUGACUGAGCCAAAACCAAAAGCCUGGAUGCUCAACCAACUGCGCCACCCAGGCACCCCAAAAUUUAUGAAUAUUUUAAGUGGAUAAUGAAAAUUAGUAUAGUAGUUUUAAAAAAUCUGCCUUAUAAAUCAUACUAACCUAGAAUACAGGUAAAAUAUACAACAAUUUCUUUUAACAUAAUACACUUUUUAAUGAGUUGCCCCAUUGUCCUUUUCUUAGUACUGUUCUUAUUUUCCUUUUUCUUUUGUAGGGCUGAGAUGCUUCUAGAUCAGUACCGAAAGAAGUCAAAGCUCUUCCAUACUACAGUUGUCCUGGCCCCACUAGGAGAUGAUUUUCGCUACUGUGAACGCAUAGAAUGGGAUCAUCAGUAUAAGAAUUAUCAGCUGCUUUUUGAUUAUAUGAAUUCUCAUCCUGAGUAUAAUGUUAAGAUACAGUUUGGGACUUUAUCAGAUUAUUUUGAUGCACUGGAUAAAGAAGAUGUAACCAUUAGAAAGAAUAGCCAAUCCAUGUUCCCUGUUCUAAGUGGAGAUUUUUUCACUUAUGCUGACCGAGACGAUCAUUACUGGAGCGGCUAUUUUACAUCCAGACCCUUCUACAAACGAAUGGAUAGGAUAUUGGAAUCCCAUCUAAGGGCUGCUGAAAUUCUUUACUAUUUCGCCCUGAAACAAGCUCAGAAAUACAAGAUAAGUAAAUUUCUUUCAUCAUCCCAUUACAUGGCACUGACAGAAGCCAGAAGAAAUUUGGGACUGUUUCAACAUCAUGAUGCUAUCACAGGAACUGCAAAAGAUUGGGUGGUUGUGGAUUAUGGUACCAGCCUUAUGUUUACACAACACUGCCCUUUGUCAGAGUGCAACGUGGAAGGUUUUACUCAGACGUGACUUGCUUUUUGGAACAUGUUACCCAUAGGGUCCGACUGUACAACAUCCAAGGAAUAGACGGACAGUCUGUGGAAGUGUCCAAUAUCGUGGACAUCUGAAAAGAACAUAACCGUGAGAUUGCAAUGAGAAUUUCUUCUAGCAUAAACAGUCAAAACAAAUUCUAUACUGACCUGAAUGGAUAUCAGAUUCAGCCCAGAAUGACGAUGAGCAAAUUGCCUCUUCAAGCAAAUGUCUAUCCGAUGACCACAAUGGCCUAUAUACAGGACACCAAGCAUCGCUUGACAUUACUCUCAGCUCAGUCUUUAGGGGUUUCAAGUUUGAAAAGUGGUCAGAUUGAAGUUAUCAUGGAUCGAAGACUCAUGCAAGAUGAUAAUCGCGGCCUUGAGCAAGGUGUCCAUGAUAACAAGGUUACAGCUAAUUUAUUUCGACUACUACUGGAAAAAAGAAGUGUGAAUACGGUGGAUGGCAAGCAUUCCGAUGAGGCAGCCUUGAUCCUCCACAGGAAGGGGUUUGACUGCCGCUUCUCGAGCAGAGACACGGGGCUGCUUUGUUCCACAACCCAGGGAAAGAUUUUGGUACAGAAGCUUUUUAGCAUGUUUACUGUCGCAAGUCUCAUACCUUCAUCAUUAUCCUUGAUGCAUUCACCUCCAGACGCCCGAAAUAUAAGUGAGAUCAACUUGAGUCCCAUGGAAAUCAGCACAUUCCGAAUCCAGUUGAGAUGAACCUGGCUUUCAAAUUUGGAUUGGGAAGCAUUGUCUUUUAUACACUUCUUGGUUUGACGUGCAAUAAGGAAGCAGAUUAUUUUAGCUUCUGGCUACUGUGAGGACAUGAAUUCUGUGAUUGUUAUUAUAAUUAUUAUUAUUAUUAUUUUUUUUUUUACUAGUACAGAAAGAAAAAAAAAAAAGCCAUGCUAUAGCCAGUUUUUCUUUAAGUUCCAUCCAUGAAUCACCACCAUCAGUAUGAAUCGAUGCAACAAUGAAGGAAGAAAUGUCUAAAACAACCUCUCCACAGAUUGUAUCUCAGGUUAAA